CCGCCGGCGACCGGCGCACGGGUGAGUAACGCGUAUGCAACCUGCCCGUUUCAGCGGGAUAACCCGGAGAAAUCCGGCCUAAUACCGCGUGUGGCCGAGGGGAGGCAUCUUCUUUCGGCCAAAGGAGGCAACUCCGGAGACGGAUGGGCAUGCGUGACAUUAGCUUGUUGGCGGGGUAACGGCCCACCAAGGCGACGAUGUCUAGGGGUUCUGAGAGGAAGGUCCCCCACACUGGUACUGAGACACGGACCAGACUCCUACGGGAGGCAGCAG
rnacentral:rRNA from 1 species